rnacentral:misc_RNA from 1 species
UCCCCGUUGUCCGGGGCGGUUUCGCUAGAGUGCUCAGCUUAACCUGUUAGCAACUAACGAUAAGGGUUGCGCUCGUUGCGGGACUUAACCCAACAUCUCACGACACGAGCUGACGACAGCCAUGCAGCACCUAUACAGCAGUCUCUUGCGAGAAAAGGAUGUUUCCACCCUGGUCCACUGCACUUCGAGCCCAGGUAAGGUUCUUCGCGUUGCGUCGAAUUGAACCACAUGCUCCACCGCUUGUGCGGGCCCCCGUCAAUUCCUUUGAGUUUCAGUCUUGCGACCGUACUCCCCAGGUGCAGGACUUAACGCGUUAGCUCCGGGACGCUCCACGAACGUGAAGCACCCCAAGUCCUGAUCGUUUAGGGCUAGGACUAC